rnacentral:rRNA from 1 species
GACGAACGCUGGCGGCGUGCUUAACACAUGCAAGUCGAACGCUGAAGCUCAGCUUUUGUUGGGUGGAUGAGUGGCGAACGGGUGAGUAACACGUGAGUAACCUGCCUCCUUCUUUGGGAUAACGCCCGGAAACGGGUGCUAAUACUGGAUAUUCACUGGUCUUCGCAUGGGGGUUGGUGGAAAGGGUUUUUCUGGUGGGGGAUGGGCUCGCGGCCUAUCAGCUUGUUGGUGGGGUGAUGGCCUACCAAGGCUUUGACGGGUAGCCGGCCUGAGAGGGUGACCGGUAACAUUGGGACUGAGAUACGGCCCAGACUCCUACGGGAGGCAGCAGGGGGGAAUAUUGCACAAUGGGCGCAAGCAUGAUGCAGCGACGCAGCGUGAGGGAUGGAGGCCUUCGGGUUGUGAACCUCUUUCGCUCAUGGUCAAGCCGCAACAAUGGUUGUGGUGAGGGUAGUGGGUAAAGAAGCGCCGGCUAACUACGUG